CAUCAACAAGCCUUGUUACGUUCUAUGAAAACGUGGGACCUCUCUACCUAUCCAGGCCAAACCAUGGCAAAGGAAUUAAGUCAAUCAAUGAAAUGGACUGAAGAACACAAAUUGCUGAUGUUGAGGGAUUGAUGCUUUUGCAGCCAUGGCUGCAUAAGAAAGAAACUAGCAAGAAGAGAUGAUUGGGAAAAGCUGGUAGUGUCCUUAAAUGCUAUUCUUUGUCCACAGUUCUGUGUUAAUCAUCAGUCUGUUCAUGACCACUAGUCUACAAUGGAAAAGGGAAUUAGG